UCACAGCAGAGGAAGAUUAGUGGAUGAAAAUAAUAGUAAAAGUAGAACGAGGGGUAGAUCUUUAAAAAACGUAUGUAUAAAAAAUGCUAAAGCUACAAAUUCUAAAUCACCAGCUAUACCAAAGAAAUCAGAUACUUGAUGUGGUACAACAUCUCUAUUCAAAGGUCUAGAAGGAACUCCAGUAAGUGAAAAAGAACUUCAUUGUAUAAAAGUAGAUAUUCCUAGAAAUAUACCUGUGAAGGGACAAAUAAAUGAA